GCUUACGGCCCAUACCACCCCUCGAGCGCGCCCCGAUCUCGUCUGAUCUCGGAAGCUAAGCAGGGUCGGGGCCUGGUUAGUACUUGGAUGGGAGACCGCCUGGGAAUACCAGGUGCUGUAAGCU
rnacentral:rRNA from 1 species